rnacentral:rRNA from 1 species
UACGUAGGGCGCAAGCGUUGUCCGGAAUUAUUGGGCGUAAAGAGCUCGUAGGUGGCUUGUCACGUCGGGUGUGAAAGCUUGGGGCUUAACUCCAGGUCUGCAUUCGAUACGGGCUGGCUAGAGGUAGGUAGGGGAGAACGGAAUUCCUGGUGCAGCGGUGAAAUGCGCAGAUAUCAGGAGGAACACCGGUGGCGAAGGCGGUUCUCUGGGCCUUACCUGACGCUGAGGAGCGAAAGCGUGGGGAGCGAACAGG